CCUAGGCAAAAGGGCACAUUUCUUUCAUAGUAAAAUAUUUAGGAUAUUACAAAUAACUUCUCAGCAAUGCAUAGUUGUCUGCAUGAAAAUGGAAUUUUGUCAGUAAUGAAUGUUGACUUGGAAUUACAGCCAGUAUGGUAAUGAAACAUAGCCCCAUUGGAUUUAAGUAAUUUGCAAAUUGAGGUUAUUAUCAGUUAAUAAUGAUACCCCUGGCUGAUGUGAGAAAAGGGUCGUGCUACUCAAUUGAAUAGGAAGUAGGGCUUGUAAACAGAUGCAAACUAGCAUAAAUGUUAAGUUAUGGAUUAAUUCCAUGCAUACACUGCAGUAAAUCCCCACUAGCAGACAGCUGUCAAGACUGCCUAGAAAACUUGACUACAUUUGUUUUCAAUGUGAUCAUUCUCCUGCUCUUGUUCUACUUCUAGGAAAGCUCUAAGCAAUUAUUUUUGUGUGAAUUCCAACAGUACAUCCAUUUAUCACAGUGCUUGUGUUAGUUAUACAUAUUUUUAAUUAACCACAAGUUAUUCAGGUGCUAAACAGGUGCAUCAGCUUCUAGGUCACUUUUGACUGUCUUAACUAGAACCUUUCAAAAGAGUAGGCAUAAUAAAUCAUAUUUGAAAGAAGAUUCAUCCAGGGUAUCUCUGGAGUUUUUAGUAAAUGUGUGUUUUUACCUGAAGGAUCUGCCAGGGAAUCAAACUGCAUCUCAGACCCCAGUGAACCCAGAGUGUUUCAACCCCUCUGUAUAAUUCUGAUUGUGUGCUGCUCAACUUGAGGCCAAUGUUUUGUUGCCACAGGCUUUACUCUGACACAAGAUUUGACCAGGGACCUGUGUGACUACAGAGCAUCUGGGCUGUUUAUUUACCUCCCUUAAUUAAAAUCAGAUCUAUUUGUUAGGAAACAUUGUGGAAAGCCUAGAGGCCCCAAGAGGGAGCCUCCAAUAGAGAAACCCACUGCAACCCUCUGGAAACUUCGAUGCUCAGAACGGUGAAAAACUCUGCAGCUGUGGCAAAGCAGAGUGUGAAAGAACAACAAAGUCACCCUGACUGGUCAGUAAUUUGCAAGUAGAUACAAAUAAAACCUGAAUUCUCUUAUUGUGUCAACUGGAGUCCAGUGAAGCAUUUUAUUUUCCUGAUAGAAAUUGAUCCUAUAGAGUGAUUAAAUAUACCAGUCAAAUAGCUUCUCAAAUAAGAAAUAGUUAACUAUUUUUUGUCUCUUUCAGUAGCUGUGAAAAGUUUAGAAAAGUUUUUUGGCUCUGUCUACAUUUUCCCCGAAGACCUACAUGCUAUUAAUGGUAAAAGGUUUGGUUGAAUGAGAGUGCUACAAUCUGUCUGAGGAUAUGGUAUGGGUGACACAAAGGCUUCCUGCUGCUCUACCAGUCUCUGUAACGCAGAAAUGCUUACAGGAGUUUGCUACCCUCGACUUUUCACUGCCUCCCUGUUGGUGGACUCACUUAGGCCUCCAAGCAGAGUGUUGAAAAUGCUGCUAAAUCAGAACACCUCUUCCUGAGUGUCUUUAAGUCAGAUACCUGGCACUGACUGGCUGAAAAGAGGACGUGGUGUUUCUUCAGUCACACACCUUUUCCCCUGGCACUGAACACUGUAGCCGGGAAGUGCAGGCAGAAGAGGAAUUUGCUUAUUGCCAGAGGAAGCUGCAAAGUGGAAAAGGCUGAGCCAGGGAUCCAGGUGAAGAGUGGAUUUGGGAAGAUGUCUCCUGCAAGAAUGUCCUUUUCAGUACAGAAUGAACCAGAAAUACUGUUGGAAUUAUUUAGCCCAUUGAAGACACAAUCCUGGAGCUAUCCUGUGGCUAAAAGCAUUUUCAGCUGAUGGAAAUGAGAGCUGCUCCACUGGCACUUGGAGCCACAUCGCCCCGUUCUGUGAAGAACUUGGUCUGGUUUUCUCUCUGCUGCUGUUUGGUUGUAAAGGUCCCGCUCAGGGCUUGGGCUGUUUGUCACACAGAGCCGCUGGUGACAUGGCUGAGAGGAAAGGCACUGUACCAGUCCUUAAUGCUGCUCUGCACCAGCUGCCUUGCAGCAGAGGAGUGGGCCCUAAAUCAAGCACCAAGAUCUUUUUAAAAAGAAGGAAAAAAUAGUCAAUUUUGAGUUUGUUUUUUUUUUUCAGCAAAAUAGAAAUUUCAAUGCUCCUACAAUCUUAGGCCAGGCCAGGCUUUGGUGAGGAUAAUGGGACAUAAGUGCCUUUUGUCUUCUGUUAGGGAGGGUAAAUUGUAUAGCUGUCAAGUGGUGGCAUGUCUGUAAGUGCUGAGUGAAAUCUUUGCUGGGAGUGAUAAAAUCUGUGCCAAAGGAGAGGGAAGGAUGCACAUGCAUCGAGGGAACCUGUUAGAAUCCAGUUUAAAUCAGUAGAGAUGCCAUAUCUGCUGAGGAUAUGUGUGGGCCUAAUUGCACAGAACAACUGUGUCUUGGUUUGA